CCUGGUAGCCAUUGAAACCCCAAAACCAUGUGUCUCGUUUAGUGGGAAAUGGCAGGAAUCCCAGGCAAAGAGCAUUGGAGCUGAGUACCUGAUGGGUGUUAUGGCAGGUGCUACCAGUGGUGGGUUGCCCCUGGUUCGCACCGGUUCUAUAGAACUGGUAGUAAAACCGGCAGGAGGCUCCACCCACCGACCCCGAUGUCAUCAAAAUGCUUCUGCGUGGUCCCGCUGCGAACCAGUAGUAAAGAGAGUACCUCUAAAGAAAAUCUUCUCUAAGAAGUUUCAUCUCCAUUUAAUGAUGGGUCCAGCUUUGAAACCAAUGUACCUUCUCUGAGCUCAAUACUUUGACUUCAUUCCAUAGGCAACCCGUGGGCUUCAGCUGUUGAUGACCUUGCUUCUGAAAGAAGUUCUUUGACACUCAAAACAUCGUAGAUACCUCACAUGAAGAAUAAGAUUCUUCCAGUUGACAUGGAUCAUGAAUUAUUAUUACAGAGUAUUGUCAAAAAUGUACAUUUUGUCACCGUGUAUGUAUGAAUGACUAACAGAAAAAUUCUACAGAUACAUCUAAACAGAAGUAAGUCCAAUUGAGUUCAGGUGGGUUUAUUCUUGGGUAAAUGGAUAAUCACUUGUCAUCUAAAAACAAUAAACAACAAUAGCACUUAGACUCA